AUUGAACGCUGGCGGCAUGCCUUACACAUGCAAGUCGAACGGCAGCGCGGGAGCAAUCCUGGCGGCGAGUGGCGAACGGGUGAGUAAUAUAUCGGAACGUGCCCAUUAGUGGGGGAUAGCCCGGCGAAAGCCGGAUUAAUACCGCAUACGACCUGAGGGUGAAAGCGGGGGAUCGCAAGACCUCGCGCUAUUGGAGCGGCCGAUAUCAGAUUAGCUAGUUGGUGGGGUAAAGGCCUACCAAGGCGACGAUCUGUAGUUGGUCUGAGAGGACGACCAGCCACACUGGGACUGAGACACGGCCCAGACUCCUACGGGAGGCAGCAGUGGGGAAUUUUGGACAAUGGGCGCAAGCCUGAUCCAGCAAUGCCGCGUGCAGGAAGAAGGCCUUCGGGUUGUAAACUGCUUUUGUCAGGGAAGAAAUCCUUUGGGCUAAUACCUCGGAGGGAUGACGGUACCUGAAGAAUAAGCACCGGCUAACUACGUGCCAGCCGCCGCCGUAA
rnacentral:rRNA from 1 species